CCGAUCACUCGUCUGUCUCCUCGGAGGAGUCAGAGGCUAGCAAAGGGGUAUUGAUCACUCGCUGCUCGUCUGAUCCGAAGGAGAGCCUGGAGGAGCGCCGAGUAAUCGAUGCCGUGGCCCUGCCCCAUCCCGUUUAGAAGGGCACUGGAGACACUGGUAAUAAUAGCCACAUUUCAAAGAGGAGGACACUGAAGCCCAGGCAGAAGAAUGAUGUACGUGGACAACUGGAGGGUUAGCAAGGUGAAGAGGUGCUCUAUUGAGCGACAGUACAGCUCUCAGGAGACCUGAGCCUCUGGGGUUUCUUUAUAGUGAUGUGAGUGGACUAAUACGUCUCCCUCUACCCGAGUCUCUGAGUGACGCAGAGCCUUCCAUCAGCCCAUGUUGGAUGCACAGCAUUUGGGUGCUAUUUAAAGGCAGAAGCAAAUGAUAAGUGACUCAGAAUGAGAGGCCACCCGGACGCUGCAGCCAGCGAGGAAAGGAUAGAGUGUCGUUCUAGUCCAGCGCACCAAAAGCUGGAUAUGUGCCGAUUAGCAAGUAAUUGGGUCCUGGCAUGGUGAUUUGCAUGUGGGAAACUGCUAAAAUAUUCAUGUACUUGAGUGUGUCUCUUCCAAUUAGAUGUAAUAAAUGCAGAUUUGGUGGCCAUAUGUUUUAUUUUGAUGUAAUGGUUUUAACCUUUAUGGAGUGUGUGUGUGUGUGUGUGUGUCAAUGUAGUUCCCCAGUUUUCUAAGGCUGGCCUGAUUUGAAACAUGCUGGCAUUUUUAAGAUGCAAUUUGAUUAGAUUAUUAUUAGAGUCUCCUUCUUGGGAUUGGAAGAACAGGCGGUAUUAACUUUCUAUUUUGACUUCUACUGCAUUUAUUUAUUCCUUCCUUCUCUCCUGUGUUCCCCUUUUCUUUCUGCCCUUCUUCUCUUGCCUUUCCCUUCUCCCUCCCUAACCCAGUCUCUUGAGCAACUGGAUUAAUCUCUCUAAGCCUCCGUUUCCUCACCUGUAAAAUUGGGAUAACAACACAUUUUUAUGAGGAGUAAUGAAGAUAGUGUAUAUGAAACAUUUAGUACAGUAUUUGGCACAUAGUAAGUGCUCAGUACGUGGCAGCUGUUGUUAUUAGUAUCAGCAGCGUGAAUCUCAGCAGGUUAUCUAACCUUUCUGAACCUCAGUUUCUCCAUCUGAAAAAUAGGCUCAUGUUAUUCCUUUCCCCAGAUUGUUGUGGUGUCUGCCAUUUGUAUUAGGUGCUCAGUGAAUGAAUAAAGAAUGAAUGAACGAAUUUUGGAACUCAUUGUGAAUUAGUUAGAGUAGAACCCCUACAGUAACAUACUAUCCCCAAAUUUCAGUGGCCUGACAUAUUACAUUGAUUUCUCCCUCCCAUCACAUCCUGAUGUGGAUGGAAAGGAGUCUCUGCUCCAUGCAGUCAUUCAGGGCCCCACACUUUCUCCAUCUGAGGGUUCAAUCCCUGCAGAGGUCUCCAAGUCCUCUUCCUUCAGCCCAUGAUUGAGGAAAGAUAAUGGCAGAUCUCAUGCGGGAGGUUAUUAUGUGACAGGCCAGGCAGUGGUCAGUUCUGUUCCCAUUCCAUUUGUCUCUCAGUACGUUCCUGACCACAAGCGAGGCUGGGAGCUGGGUGCCUAGGACAGCGAGGAGGACAGGCAGGACUUUACUCUGGAUUUAGGUUUCUAGAAACCACAGGCAGGCAAAAACUUGGCCACCUGCUUGUGAGACUCACAAAAAAGAUAACAAAUAAGUCUGAUUUGAUGUCAUAAACGGGUUGCAGAGACAAGGAAGGCUGAACAAGGGAGAAAAGUGAGAAGCAGGUGGGGGACAGAGGGAGCCUUGCCUGUUUUCUAUGACCUGGGGUCCUGGCCAUCGGAGCCACACAGUGUAUCUGCCCUUCUUCUUCUCUCCCUCUGUCCUUGUCCAUUUUCUCUUUUGGAAUCUAUUAUUAGUGAGCUCCGCCAUUGUUUUUUCUGAUUGCAUUAAAAUGCCACCAAGACACAUGCUCUGCAGCAUGCCACUUCAGUCCUAAGUGGGACAUUUUUGCUAGAUGGAUCGAUUGUUUUAAAUGACAGCAUCUGUUUGCUUGUACACAUUUAUUUAUAAUUCCUCCCCUGACAAUUAGAGGGGGGGAAUCGGUGAGCGGUAACCAGCUGUUGGGAUUAGCGGGGAAGGGAGGCAGUGAUUUGAUCUGUGAAGGAGCACCAAAGCCCCGGCCAAAAGCAGUAAAAAUGGAACAGAUGCCCCCACAUGCACAAGCUUGGGGAGGGACCGAUAAAUCACAUGCGCUGCCAGCCGCAGCCCCAGAGAGACACCAGAUGAGCUGGGUGAGCCGGAGAAGCUCGUGAGAGUCAGGGGCUGUGUCUGGCUCUCCCUGGGACUCGAGGGGCUUGAUAGAUGGAGUGGAGGGCAGUACAAUAGCGCAGAGUAGUGGACCUCGGUGAGCUGGACCCUCUGAUGGGUCUUCGUGUCACUCAGGUUGAAAUCCAGAGUGCUCACCAUGGUUUACCAUGGUGGCCCUACCAAAGUGGCCUCUGUUAUUCCUCUACCCUCUAUCCCUGUGCUCUGCUGCCUUUCCAGGUGUGCACCAGCAGCUCUACCUCCAGCUACUCCUGUAACAUGCCAGAUGCUCCCCCUCCUGGGGUUCCCUCAGGCUCUGCUUUCGUCAUUCAUCCUCCAUCUCCAUGGGGCUCACUUUCUCACCUCUUUUAAAUCCAUGCUCAAAUGCCACUUCUUAGAACUAUUUCUUAUGAACUCCCUAUCCAGCCCUCUUCCUUCUGGUCUCAGUCUGUUGGUGCUGCUGUAGCAAAAUACCCCUGGCUGGGCAAUUUAUAAAUAAUAGAAGUUUAUAUCUCAUAGUUCUGGGGGCUGGGAAGUCCAAGAACAAGGUGCUGGCAGAUUCAGUGCCCGGUGAAAGCUUACUCUGAUUCCAGAUGGUGCCUUCUUACUAUGUCUUCGCUUGGUGGAAGGAGACAAAAGGGGACGAAUGAAUGCCCUGUCCUCACAUAGGAAGAGAGGUGGGAGAGCCAGGCAACUCUCUGAAGCCUCUCUUAUGAGCAUAUUACAAGAGCCCCCCCUUAUCCUAGGGGGCUAUGUUCCAAGACCCCCAGUGGAUACCUAAAACCACAGAUAGCACUGAACCCCAAAACACUACAUUUUUUCCCUAUACAUACAUACCUAUGAUGUUUAAUUUAUAAAUUAGGCAUAGUAAAAGAUUAACAAGAAUAAAAUAGAACAGUUACAACAAAUUACUGUAAUUCUGUGAAUAUUUAUUUCUGGAAUUUUCCAUUUAAUAUUUUGGGAUGGUGGUUGACCACAGAAAGCUGAAGCCUUAGAUGGGGGCACUCACUACUGUGAUCCCAUGCACAAGAGUGGAGGCCUCCUGAUGUCAUCCCCUCCCCCAGACCCUUCCGUCUAAUGCCAUUCCCUUGGAGAUUAGGUGUCAACACAGGAAGUUGGGAGGAACACAUACCUUCAAACCCUAACACCGCCUCUCUCGUUUUCUUUUUCUCUCUAACACUUACAACCCUUCUAACAAAACACAUACAUGUUUGAAAUGUUUAUUUUCUGUCUGUUCCAUAGGAGUUUCAUGAUGGCAGGGGCCUUGUCUGUCUUGUUUGUCCCUGAACUGUCCUGGGCACAUAGUAGAUGCUCAGUAAAUGUUUGCUGAAUCAAUGCAGGAUUUUUCAUUUGGGGGAACACAUCGCCCCUUUUGACUUUCCCUAUUUGCAACUCAGGGGUCACAGGGAGAAAGCCAAGGUCACUGAGGGGUUGCUCUCUGGGGCCAUCAGUCCUAUAUUCCUGAUCUCUGUAGCUCCCCAGGAUCUAGCCCAAUGCCUUGCAUGCAGUAGGCAUUCAAUAAAUAUUUGCUGAAUAAAGAGAUGACUGAAUGACACAAGUUGACACUGAACAACAUUCAAGGCAAGAAACAAGGACUCGUUGCUGAAUCCUUUUCCCCCCAUCCCCCACAUCAGCGGGUCCAACCAGCAGCAUCUCUAAAAUACGCCUUGUGACUGAGCACUAGAGUCCAGUUCCUGCUUUAGUGACAGGGUCUGAACCCCACGCCACCUCCUGCCCAGACAACUCCCACAGCGCCUAACUGGGUCCCAGCUGCCACGCUCACGCCCCCUAUCCGUUGCUCUCCACACUGCAGCCAGCGUGAUCUCAUGAAACUAUGAAAUAAUCAGUUCAUGCCCUUUUGCAGGCUCACCACUCUCCAAGUGGCACUUACAUCAAAACCCAAACCCCUACCACGACUGGCUGCCCGCCCCGCUUCCUCUGCCGUCUCUCUAGUCUUGUGCUCGGACUCCUUACUCUCUUUGAAAAUGCCUUGGGGUCUUUGCACUUUCUGUUCCUGGAACAGAGUCUGGGGUCCCAGCUGAGCUCUGAGAGCAGCAGAGAGCAUCUGCUUGGGAAGGAAGCAGACGAACAGCCAGCAUGACUGGCUCCUUUAUCCUUCAGGUUUCGGCUCAAAUGUCACUUCCUGACCACCCCAUCUAACCCAGUCCUCCUUCCAUCUUCCCACCUCUACAGAGAACCCCAGGACUCGGAGGAAUGGCCUGAAUCCCAUUUGUGUCCCGUGACCUAACUCCCCUCUGCUCUGUCCCCCUCCCUUCCCUCCUCCCAUCUGCUUCUGUGCACAAAGCAUCAUAACGCUUUGAUCUAUUACUUCAUUUUUUCCCGUGGUUUCUCCUUCCUCUCCUUCUCCCUUUUCCUUCUCAUCAAAGCAGGCAGCUGUUGCCUCAGGGGAAGGAUAUUGCAGAAGGGGAACAACAAAUAGCCUAUACAUCUUUCUGGCUUUUCUUCUCUUUUAGGAGAACUUAGGAGAGUUCUCAUUAGAACUAAGGGGUUGCAGGGGAUUAGAGGUACCACCAAGGGUCCCGGAGCCACAGUGGGGAGAGCAGAACUCCUCUCCCCAGCUGCAGAGAGACUUCCUGUGGCUGGGGGAGAGAGAGAAGGGAGGGGGAGUAGUGGCAUCCUGGGCUGUGGGUCUUGGGGCUGUACUUCCUGGCGCCUCCCUGGGGAGGAAGCAGGACCCUGGAGGAGAGGCUGCCUCCAAGCCCAGAAACCGUAAGUCAUCCCCUCUUGAACUGAAUCCUGCUCACAGCCGUUUGGUUUGGCCCAUGCAGUGUUGUAUUUUCUUUCUGAUGGAUUUCUAAAAUUUAAAAGAUUGAGGCUGGGCUUGGUGGCUCACACCUGUAAUCCCAGCACUUUGGGAGGCCGAGGUGGGAGGAUCAUGUGAGAUCCGGAGUUUGAGACCAGCCAGGACAGCAUAUCAAGACCCCGUCUCUACAAAUAUAAAAAAAUAAAAAAUUAGCCAGGCGUGGUGGCGCUCAUCUGUAGUCCCAGCUACUUAGGAGGCUGAGGAAGGAGAAUCACUUGGGCCCAGUGAGCUAUGAUUAUGCCGCUGCAUGCACUCCAGCCUGGGCAACAGAGAAAGACCCUGUCUCAGAAAACCAAAACAACAACAUCAAAAAUAGAUUGCCUAUUUCAAAUUUCUCUUGAAAGUUCAGAUUUAGAUUUGCAGUUUGUCUGGAUAAAGAGAUCUGGUAGUGCUAGGCCUGUGUUUACAGAGGUGGGCCUGGGAGCCUGGCACAAAUAUGCUGUAUUCCCACCCCACCUCUUGCUGCUGGGUCACAGCCAGUCCACUUCGUUUGUUUUUAAGACAGGGUCUCACUCUGUGCCCAGGCUGGAGUUCAGUGGCACGAUCUCAGCUCACUGCAGCCUCUACCUCCCAGGUUCAUUCUCCUGCCUCAGUCUUCGGAGUAGCUGGGACUACAGGCUCACACCACCAUGCCCAGAUAAUUUUUGUAUUUUUAGAAGAGACAGGGUUUCACUGUGUUGGUCAGGCUGGUCUUGAACUCCUGGCCCCACGUGAUCUGCCUGCCUCGGCCUCCCAAAGUGCUGGGGUUACAGGCGUGAACCACUGCGCCCCACCAGCCAGUCCACUUGUUUGCUUGAUGAACCUGGUCCCUUUGGGCAUCUGAGUCUCUGGCUCUGGAAGAUGGUGCCCAAGGCAGCUUCAGUGAAGAACCUGGGGCCCUAGCGAGCUCUGAGAGCAGCCGAGGCUUCUGCUUUGGAAGGGGUCAUGUGGACAGGAAGGAUGGAGAGCUUAGUGGUCACCCAAGUGGAUGGAGGACCCAGACCCCUCUCCGUCUCAGCUUGGUUGUUCACACCUGUAAGCUCACACCUGUGUGAAACCCAAGAACCAAGGCCCAACCCCAGAAAGGCGUGGCAAAGUCAAGGACUGAAGUUUACUUUAUGCCGGUGCAGCCACGUGGAGGAUAUGAGUUGGAGAUUCAGUGAGUCAUCGAACAUUUUUAAGAAGUGAUUUAUUUCUGAGCAACUGAAAUUUGUGGAUGAGAUGCAAAGAUGCUGUCAUAUUUCACUUACUCUUCAGGGUCAAGAUUAUCCCCUUCAAAGACAAAAGACACAAUUUUUAGGAGGGCUUGUCACAUGCACAGCACAAGCACAGUGGUAAGCCCUUCAUGUCAGCCCUUUAUAUUCUCAGACUUAAGCGUGCAUCAGCAUUAUCUGAAAGGCCUGUUAACACACAGAUUGCUGGGCCCAGCCCCAGAGUUUCUGAUUCAGCAGGUCUGGAGUGGGGCUCAAGAGUUUGCAUUUUUAGCAAGUUACCAGGUGAGGCUGAUACUGCACGUCAGGAGACCAGGCUUUGAGAAACACUGAUUUAGAGAAUUACCUUCAUCAGUUGUCACAAUCUUAUUAUGUAGAGUCUAGCAUCUCUCUCCCUCUCUCUCUUUAAAGAAAGGAUCUCACUCUGUUGUUCAGGCUGGAGUGCAGUGGCACCAUGUCCACCUCCUGGGUUCAUUCUCCUGCCUCAGCCUCCUGAGUAGCUGGGACUGCAGGCAUGCGCCAUCACGCCCUGCUAAUUUUUAUAUUUUUUAGUAGAGACAGGGUUUCACCAUGUUGGCCAGGCUGGUCUCAAACUCCUGGCCUCAGUGAUCUGCUGGCCUUCACCUUCCAAAGUCCUGGAAUUAUAGGUGUGAGCCACCUCACCUGGCCAGCCAGUCCACUGCAGCUGCAGCCUCAACCUCCAGGGCUCAAGGAAUCCUCUUGCCUUAGACUCCUGGGCAGCUGGGAUUACAUGUGCCACCAUGCCCAGCUAAGU